UUUCGGUUCGAUGCAUUUCCGGAGGGUAUGCGCCACGACCGAUGCGAAAGGCUAGCGAAUCCGGCGAAUUGAGGUGGAAACCCUUCGCGGGGUAUUCAUUACCAGUUCGUCGGCUUAUAUAACUCGCUAGACCGUACUCUGCAUCGAGCGCGGAUAUAAAGAACGCCGGCAAAAAUGCUCGGUUAAGCGGCGGAUAGUCGGCGGAACGGGCCGUACCUGCUCGCAGGUUAUGCUGGUCUCCGUUCGGCGUUUGAAGUCGCUACCGAGUCUCCGGGUGUUCAGGCGUCAGUGGCGUCCGAGACGGUCAACCGUCCGACCCGUCUUGAAACACGGACCAAGGAGUCUAACGUACGCGCGAGCUAAUGAGUGGAAAACUCAUAAGCGCAAUAAAAGUAAAAGCCGUCUCCGGCGGCGCGGGGUACGAUCCCGGGUUUAUCUUUAAACGGAAUCCGGGCGCAGUACCGUCCCAUCCUGAUCGCUCGUCGGUAGGGUGGAGACUGAGUGCAUACGUUGGGACCCGAAAGAUGGUGAACUAUGCCUGAGCAGAGCGAAGCCAGAGGAAACUCUGGUGGAGGUUCGUAGCGGUUCUGACGUGCAAAUCGAUCGUCAGACU
rnacentral:rRNA from 1 species